UUGAACUAAUAUCCUUCCAUGUACCAUUUUUACUAGUAGUAAGGUAACAUUAAAAGUAACAGUAAAGAAAUAGAUACUGAACACUUACUAAUUACAGAUUCUCUGCAGAACUAGGAUUCCAACGAUGGACCAUCUGACUACAGCCCCGCCCUCCUGCCGUGACUGACUUGGAGCCCAGAGGACAGCAGCCUUCCGUGUAAGGCCUCCAGCUGCGCGUUGUAAAGUAAAGCUUUCAGAUCAGCCCCCGUGAAGGAGUCGGUCACUGAGGCCACGUGCUGAAGGUCCACGUCAUCUGCCAGAGGUAGAGAGUCACUGAGAACGUUUAAAAUUUCAAGACGUGACACCUGAAGGGAGAAAAACUAAUUGACUUAACAAAUAAAAUGAAGUUAAAUUUUAUUUUAAACUGUAUUAUGAUUUUUUACAAAUUAACUGUAGUUCUAAUAAGCAUUACAAGCUGAAAAAUGUAACACUAAUCUACUCUCUCUCCUCUGGAGCUUUUUCCCUACCAGAAGAGACCGAGGAAAAUGAAUGAAAAUCACAGUGUAAAUCCUUAGUCAGAUCAUGCUUCUUUUCUAAGUUUCAGCAAAUGAGCCAAGAAAGUGUUUCAAAAGAAAUUUUAAGUAAUACCUACAAGUGACAAAUUCAUUAGCUUGUAAAUUUGGGGAUAGGAGGUGGGACAACAGACUAGGAACAGUUAAAAUCUUACCUCUCUGUAACCUGCUUGGACGCUCGCUAGUCAUAUGCUUAAUUCUUAAAAAGUCUUGCCAGAAUAAGGAGGUGUGUGACCUUUGGACACAGGGAACGUGGACAUGUGAAACUUAAAGUUUCCAUCCUUUUUUUCCAACCGGCCAACAGUGAGAGGCUACAAAGUUUCCAGACUGGCACGGAAACGGAAACGGAAACGCCUGGGCUUCGUAUCUACUUCGGAAUCUGCAACUAAGGCCCCGCCUAAAGCUGCUCUUCUACGGACAACUAUUACCAGGCAGAAGUAAAGCUCACAAGGCUAGCGAGUAGCAUUUGUUGGGUUUUAGACUGAGUGCAAUUGUCACCUGAUCCGGAGGAGGGCAGUAGACACAUCUAUCGAAUCGGCCAGGCCUCAGCAGGGCAGGGUCAAUCAAGUCAGGGCGACUAGUAGCAGCCAAUACGUAAACACCUGGGGGAAGAUAUUCUUUACUUAAAUCCUGGUGAAAUUAUUGUUACAAUAAGCUAUUUCUAUUUUUACGGUUAUUACCCUGUAAGCCUUCCACUCCAUCCAACUGAGUCAGCAACUGGUUAACCACGCGGUCUGUAACCCCUGUGUUAUCAUGGCCUCGCCGAGGAGCAAUGGAUUCAAAUUCAUCAAAGAAAAGAAUGCAGGGCUUGGCCGCCUGCGCUCU